rnacentral:rRNA from 1 species
UACAGAGGUCUCAAGCGUUGUUCGGAUUCAUUGGGCGUAAAGCGCGUGUAGGCGGUUCGGUAAGUCGGCUGUGAAAGUCCAGGGCUCAACCCUGGGAUGCCGGUCGAUACUGCCGGACUAGAGUCCGGAAGAGGAGAGUGGAAUUCCUGGUGUAGCGGUGAAAUGCGCAGAUAUCAGGAAGAACACCCGUGGCUAAGGCGGCUCUCUAGUACGGUACUGACGCUGAGACGCGAAAGCGUGGGGAGCGAACAGG